rnacentral:ncRNA from 2 species
UCAUGUCGCACGGGAGAGUCUCGACCGGCCUCAGCGUCGAGGUCGAGCGCCGAAGGGGCAAGCAUCCCCGGAACCUCUCAGGCACCCGGACCGUGCGAUCAGG